rnacentral:rRNA from 1 species
AUUGAACGCUGGCGGCAUGCCUAACACAUGCAAGUCGAGCGGAUGAACGGAGCUUUCGCCUGUAUUCAGCUGCGGACGGGUGGGUAAUUCCUAGGAAUCUGCCUUGUAUUUGAGGAUAACGUCCGUAAACGGGCGCUAAUACCGCAUACGUCCUGAUGGAGAAAGUGGUGGAUCUUCAGACCUCACGCUAUCAGAUGAGCCUAGGUCGGAUUAGCUAGUUGGUGGGGUAAAGGCCUACCAAGGCGACGAUCCGUAACUGGUCUGAGAGGAUGAUCAGUCACACUGGAACUGAGACACGGUCCAGACUCCUACGGGAGGCAGCAGUGGGGAAUAUUGGACAAUGGGCGAAAGCCUGAUGCAGCAAUGCCGCGUGUGUGAAGAAGGUCUUCGGAUUGUAAAGCACUUUAAGUUGGGAAGAAGGGAAGUAAGUUAAUACAUUGCUGUUUUGACGUUACCAAAAGAAUAAGCAACGGCUAACUUCGUG